GACAGAGGGUGCAAACGUUGUUCGGAAUUACUGGGCGUAAAGCGCGUGUAGGCGGCCCUGCAAGUCGGGUGUGAAAGCCCUCGGCUCAACCGAGGAAGUGCACUCGAAACUGCAAGGCUUGAGUCCCGGAGAGGAUAGUGGAAUUCUCGGUGUAGAGGUGAAAUUCGUAGAUAUCGAGAGGAACACCGGUGGCGAAGGCGGCUAUCUGGACGGUGACUGACGCUGAGACGCGAAAGCGUGGGGAGCAAACAGG
rnacentral:rRNA from 1 species